rnacentral:rRNA from 1 species
AUGGCAGACUUUGGUCCUCCCGCCGCCGCCCCGGCUGCCCACAUCGUUGCCGCCCCGUCUGCCCAGAUCGCCGCCAAGGGCAAGGACCCGCGCGUCGAGCGGGGAUACACACCAUCCUACCCUGUUGAUCCAGCCUGGUACAUGGACACCGGCGCCACGGAUCACAUGACGAACGAGCUCAACAAACUCUCCACCUACCAGCCGUACUACGGGCAUGAUCGGGUUCACACCGCCAAUGGUGUAGGUAUGCCCAUCUCUCAUAUUGGCCAAGCAUCUCUUUUAACUAGUCAUCCCUCUAGGCAGCUCCAUCUUCGUAAUGUUUUACGGGUACCCUCGGUCACUCGUAAUCUUUUAUCUGUCCCUAAGCUCACCCUUGAUAAUCAUGUCCUAUGUGAAUUUCACCCUUUUAAUCUUUUUGUUAAGGAUCGAGCAACCCGGGACGUUCUGCUUAGUGGUCGGUUGAGCCAAGGCUUGUACCGUUUGGAGGAUCCAUCCGCCCCGUGCGUCUUCAGCGGUGUUCGUGUGUCGCCUUCCCAGUGGCACUCUUGCUUUGGUCACCCCGCCACACCCAUCGUUCGCCACAUAAUCCACCGUCAUGAGCUGCCAUUAGUGUCUAGCAAUAAAGAGAUGUCCGUGUGUGAUGCCUGUCAGCAAGGCAAGAGUCAUCAUCUACCUUUUGUUUCAUCUACUAGAGAAGUAAAGAAUCCUCUUGAAAUUGUGUUUUCUGAUGUGUGGGGUCCGGCACAUAACAUCUGUUAG